CCCUUAGAUGUCCUGGGCCGCACGCGCGCUACACUGACAUGUUCAACAAGCCUCCUAGUUCGACAGGAUUUGGGAAAUCUUUGAACGCAUGUCGUGACAGGGAUAGAUCAUUGCAAUUAUUGAUCUUGAACGAGGAAUUCCUAGUAAACGCGAGUCAUCAGCUCGCAUUGAUUACGUCCCUGCCCUUUGUACACACCGCCCGUCGCACCUACCGAUUGAAUGUUUCGGUGAAGAUUCCGGAUAGGACUUUUUUGAUUUAUUUCAAUUCUGUCUUAAAAGCUAUCUAAACCUCAACAUUUAGAGGAAGGUGAAGUCGUAACA
rnacentral:rRNA from 1 species